GAAGAGAUAUCCUCUCAACUAUCUUUCAACCUGACUUUUUCAUCAUCAUGUUUUCAAAUAUAAAGCCCACCAAAAAAGAACCAGAAAAAUGAAUGCAACCUCGGCAUCUCUGGCAGGAUUCAAACACUUGGCUUAUCAAGGCAACCACUGAGAGGCUGGAGGUCAAGCUCGGGAAGGUACCAUGAAGAAACCGUGCUAUUCAUCCAGCCAACUGGAGACACUUAAUCGAUCACAAAGAAAAAUGAAAAUUGCAACUCCCAGAAUUUAAAAAGUUGCAGGAAGAAAAGGCUCUUUUUCCCACCCUUCCCCCACCCAGCAGGAGGAGCUGCAAAUAGAGGCUUGGUAAGUGGACCUUGCAAGGGUUAUCCCUUUCCAGAAAGCCUGAGUACAGUUAGUGCCACUACACAGGAUGCUGGCUAAGUACAAGCCUGGCCGGAAUUCCUAAAACAGGCACAGCUGGGGUGGGGCAGAAGCACAGUCCUCCAAAUUCACAGCUGCUACCAGUUUCAAAACUGUUUUUAGAAGCCGCAGGGCUGGGAGGGGAACAGGUUCUGUUCACUUAGUGUGGCUCAGUUUGCAAUUCUAGGACAGGAGCCAGAUAGAGGAUUUUCUUCCAUAAUUCUUAAAGAUGACGUGUGCUCUCCACAGAGAUGUAACAUUGCAGACUUAGAACUCAGUGGACCUUUGGAGGUCAUCUAGUGGAUCUAGCCAUUC
rnacentral:lncRNA from 1 species